GCCACUGCUAUUGGGGUUCGGCUAAGCCAUGCGAGUGGAGGGCGUCCCGCAAGGGAUGGCCCCGCAGACGGCUCAGUAACACGUCGUCAACCCACCUUAGGGUGGGGGACAACCUCGGGAAACUGAGGAUAAUCCCCCAUAGGCGGGGGAGGCUGGAAUGCGCCCCCGCUGAAAGUUCAGGCGCCCUAGGACGGGACGGCGGCCUAUCAGGUAGUUGGUGGUGUGACG
rnacentral:rRNA from 1 species